rnacentral:rRNA from 1 species
AUUGAACGCUGGCGGCAUGCCUAACACAUGCAAGUCGAACGGUUUUAUCACUUCGGUGAUAAGAUAGUGGCGGACGGGUGAGUAACGCGUAGGAAUCUGCCUUGUAGAGGGGGACAACCCGGGGAAACUCGGGCUAAUACCGCAUAAUAAUCGAGAGAUGAAAGGGUGGGACCUUCGGGCCACUCGCUAUAAGAUGAGCCUGCGUUGGAUUAGCUAGUUGGUGGGGUAAAGGCCUACCAAGGCGACGAUCCAUAACUGGUCUGAGAGGAUGACCAGUCACACUGGGACUGAGACACGGCCCAGACACCUACGGGUGGCAG